rnacentral:rRNA from 1 species
GUGCCAGCCGCCGCGGUAAUACGGAGGGUGCAAGCGUUAAUCGGAAUUACUGGGCGUAAAGCGCACGCAGGCGGUCUGACAAGUCGGAUGUGAAAUCCCCGGGCUCAACCCGGGAACUGCAUUCGAAACUGUCGGGCUGGAGUCUUGUAGAGGGGGUAGAAUUCCAGGUGUAGCGGUGAAAUGCGUAGAGAUCUGGAGGAAUACCGGUGGCGAAGGCGGCCCCCUGGACAAAGACUGACGCUCAGGUGCGAAAGCGUGGGAGCAAACAGGAUUAGAUACCCUGGUAGUCCACGCCGUAAACGAUGUCUAUUUGGAGGUUGUGCCCCUUGAGGCGUGGCUUCCGGAGCUAACGCGUUAAAUAGACCG